GAUGAACGCUGACAGAAUGCUUAACACAUGCAAGUCUUUGACGAAGCUGUGCUUGCACAGCCUAGCCAAGGCGGACGGGUGAGUAACGCGUAAGGAACUUGCCCUGCAGUCAGGGAUAACAGACGGAAACGACUGAUAAGACCUGGUAAAGUCAGGCGGACUCAUGUCCAGCCUGAUGAAAAGAGAUGCUGCAGGAGAGCCUUGCGUCCUAUUAGCUUGUUGGUGGGGUAACGGCCCACCAAGGCGAUGAUAGGUAGCCGGCCUGAGAGGGUGGACGGCCACGAGGGGACUGAGAUACGGCCCUUACUCCUACGGGAGGCAGCAGUGGGGAAUAUUGGACAAUGGGGGCAACCCUGAUCCAGCAAUUCUGUGUGCACGAUGAAGGUUUUCGGAUUGUAAAGUGCUUUCAGCAGGGAAGAAAAAAAUGACGGUACCUGCAGAAGAAGCGACGGCUAAAUACGUGCCAGCAGCCGCGGUAAUACGUAUGUCGCAAGCGUUAUCCGGAAUUAUUGGGCAUAAAGGGCAUCUAGGCGGCCAGAUAAGUCUGGGGUGAAAACUUGCGGCUCAACCGCAAGCCUGCCCUGGAAACUAUGUGGCUAGAGUACUGGAGAGGUGGACGGAACUGCACGAGUAGAGGUGAAAUUCGUAGAUAUGUGCAGGAAUGCCGAUGAUGAAGAUAGUUCACUGGACGGUAACUGACGCUGAAGUGCGAAAGCUAGGGGAGCAAACAGG
rnacentral:rRNA from 1 species